rnacentral:lncRNA from 1 species
GCAGUAAUUUGGCUAUACUUGCACGUGACAUGGUAGUGAGUUUGGUAGAGACUAGGCAUUCACAAAAUGGCCACUGCAUCAUCAGCAGAUGCAGAGCACGAUCGGAGAGUGGCUAUACUCGAGUCUCUUCGCGCUGGAAAGUCGCUGUGGGAAAUAAUCGAGUGGUUUGGUUACAAGACGAUGCAGGUUUAUGACCUAGCGAAGAGGUUCACGGAGGUUCUGAGAUGGAGGAAGUCAUUCCUGACCAGGUUAAACAUCGAAAGCGGUCUGACUGUAAAGGCGGUUUCACAUAGCCAGCAAGAAGAAACAUGCG